UUGGAGGGCAAGUCUGGUGCCAGCAGCCGCGGUAAUUCCAGCUCCAAUAGCGUAUAUUAAAGUUGUUGCAGUUAAAAAGCUCGUAGUUGAAUUUCGGGGUCAGUAGGCUGGUCGUGCCACAGGUAUGUACUGGUCUCACUGAUUCCUCCUUCCUGAUGAACCGUAAUGCCAUUAAUUUGGUGUUGCGGGGAAUCUGGACUGUUACUUUGAAAAAAUUAGAGUGUUUAAAGCAGGCCAACGCUUGAAUACAUUAGCAUGGAAUAAUGAAAUAGGACGAUCGAUCCUAUUUUGUUGGUUUCUAGGAUUGACGUAAUGAUUAAUAGGGAUAGUUGGGGGCAUUAGUAUUCAAUUGUCAGAGGUGAAAUUCUUGGAUUUAUUGAAGACUAACUACUGCGAAAGCAUUUGCCAAGGAUGUUUUCAUUAAUCAAGAACGAAAGUUAGGGGAUCGAAGACGAUCAGAUACCGUCGUAGUCUUAACCAUAAACUAUGCCGACUAGAGAUCGGAUGAUGUUAAUUUUUUAAUGACUCAUUCGGCGCCUUACGGGAAA
rnacentral:rRNA from 1 species